UACGAAGGGGGCUAGCGUUGUUCGGAAUCACUGGGCGUAAAGGGCGCGUAGGCGGCUUUAUAAGUCGGGGGUGAAAGCCUGUGGCUCAACCACAGAAUUGCCUUCGAUACUGUAGAGCUUGAGACCGGAAGAGGUAAGUAGAACUGCGAGUGUAGAGGUGAAAUUCGUAGAUAUUCGCAAGAACACCAGUGGCGAAGGCGGCUUACUGGUCCGGUUCUGACGCUGAGGCGCGAAAGCGUGGGGAGCAAACAGG
rnacentral:rRNA from 1 species